rnacentral:rRNA from 1 species
GACGAACGCUGGCGGCGUGCUUAACACAUGCAAGUCGAACGGAAAGGCCCUGCUUUUGUGGGGUGCUCGAGUGGCGAACGGGUGAGUAACACGUGAGUAACCUGCCCUUGACUUUGGGAUAACUUCAGGAAACUGGGGCUAAUACCGGAUAGGAGCUACUGCUGCAUGGUGGGGGUUGGAAAGUUUCGGCGGUUGGGGAUGGAAUCGCGGCUUAUCAGCUUGUUGGUGGGGUAGUGGCUUACCAAGGCUUUGACGGGUAGCCGGCCUGAGAGGGUGACCGGCCACAUUGGGACUGAGAUACGGCCCAGACUCCUACGGGAGGCAGCAGUGGGGAAUAUUGCACAAUGGGCGGAAGCCUGAUGCAGCAACGCCGCGGGCGGGAUGACGGCCUUCGGGUUGUAAACCGCUUUCGCCUGUGACGAAGCGUGAGUGACGGUAAUGGGUAAAGAAGCACCGGCUAACUACGUG